CAGAAGUCUGUCUCAGGGCACACAAACUUUGCGUUGGUGGUUUGGAUAACUUUUCUGCUUACUACUACAAUCAUUUUUCACACUCUCAUUGUUUUUUUUUCCUUUUUGUUUGGUUUUUUUUUUGUAUUUUUUUAAUUGAACUCUGGGGUCUAUUAGGGCACAACUUGAGUGUGGAAUGGCUGAACUGGUGCGAAUCCGUAAGAAACGGCUGCAGAUCCCCAUCUCUAGGCUGAGGAGCACCCUGAAGCAGCUGGAGGAGACAGAUGUCGACUUUGAAGAAAUCAAAAAGAAUCUGGAUUUCACAGCGUCGCUACUAGAGGCAGUAUACCUCGAUGGGACAAGGCAGUGUCUGGAGUCUGAAGACGAUCUUCAGCAGCUACAGUCAGACGGGGUGCCUUCAGAGGUCACUGACUGGCUGGCGUCCACCUUCACCCAGAGGGUUCGACGGUCUGUACGACGCUCAGAUGAGAAGCCAAAGUUCCGCAGCAUCGUCCAUGCAGUGCAAGCUGGGAUAUUUGUGGAGAGGAUGUUCAAGAGGGCCUACACGGCAGCCAUGCCAGACCAACCUGCAGCCGUCGUAAACUGCCUCAGGGAUGUUGACCGCUGGAGCUUUGACGUGUUUGCUCUGAAUUCAGCCAGCUCCGAUCACGCACUACAGACUCUUUUCUUUGAGCUGAUCACCAGAUAUGAACUCAACAGCCGUUUUAAGAUCCCCAUCUCGUGCUUGACAGAGUUCCUGACUGCAGUGGAGAGAGGAUACUGCAAAUACAACAACCCCUACCACAGCCACGUUCAUGCUGCUGAUGUGACUCAGACACUGCACUGCCUGCUGCUGCGCUCUGGACUCGUGCACUGGCUGACAGAGCUUGAGGUGAUGGCGUCGCUAUUUGCUGCAGCCAUUCAUGACUACGAGCACACGGGAACCACAAACAACUUUCACAUCCACACAAAGUCUGAGUUUGCACUGAUCUACAACGACCGGUCGGUACAGGAAAGCCACCACCUGAGUGCAGCAUUUCGGCUCCUGCAGGACGACCAAAUGAACAUCUUCAUUAAUUUGACACGAGAGGAGUGGAUGGAGCUGCGAUCACUGGUUAUAGAGAUGGUGUUGUCCACAGACAUGUCUUCCCACCUACUCCAAGUCAAAGCCAUGAAAUCCUGUCUACAGCAACAAGAGCGGAUUGACAAGCCCAAGGCACUGUCUUUGUUACUCCACACGGCUGACAUAAGCCAUCCAUCUAAGCCCUGGGCCCUGCACUCUCGCUGGACCAAAGCCCUGAUGGAGGAGUUUUUUAGGCAGGGUGAUAGAGAGGCGGAGCUUGGCCUGCCCUUCUCUCCUCUGUGUGAUCGAAAAAGCACCCUGGUAGCUGAGUCCCAGAUCGGUUUCAUUGACUUCAUUGUGUAUCCUACAUUCUCUCUGCUGACGGACAUGGCUGAAAAGAUUGUUAUUCCUUUGGUGGAGGAGAAUCCAGGGCCACCAGACCCCUGUAACAGGCACAGGUAUACAUACAGACAAGUAAUCUUUGGAAGGAGAGCUCCAGAGGUCUGCAGUGGAGUCUCGCUCACAUCACAGCUGAGCUGGUGAGCUUCCGCUCCACGUGGACGCGACACACCGAAGACAAUAAGCUGAAAUGGAAGGAAAGUGGCGCCAAUGGAUUUUCAGACCCCAGACUGACAAAAGAACAGAGGUCCAGACAAGAGGAGCUGUCAGAAAAAUCCCUGCAGGACCCCACUACAGAUACAAACCAGUAGACAGGACUUCAUUUGCGAUAUGUGCUUUUUUUUAUAGAAUAUCUACAAAGGUUAACUGAGGUUAACUUUGUGUCACUGUUUGUAACAAAACCACAAUGCCUUCUUAUAUUAUGACUGAGAGGCGGAGGAGGGAGCAUGGGAGCGAGCGUAAGGUUAAGAUCAUCUUCCCAAGGUAAGAUGCAGUGUAAUCACGGAAAUAUCCUUGUGUCUUAUUUCAAGUGUAGUAUACUAUGCUAAUUUAAAUGCAAAGUGUACAUGCUGGCCAUGUUAUACGGUGUAGUCCAUGUCAUUAAUUUAAUUUGCCACCUAAACACUUGUAAGGAAUACUUUUAUAGUUUGAACUGUACACAAAUCAUUUAACCAUGCAAUAAACCCUGAAAACAC